CAGGACAGACAGUCGCCGCGUAUCGCGUAAGGCAUACGGGGAGGAAAGUCCGGGCUGCACAGGGCAGGAUGCCGGCUAACGGCCGGGCGCGGCAACGCGACGGAAAGUGGAACAGAAAGCAAAACCGCCGAUGGCAGCCUGAAAAGGCGGCACAGGCAAGGGUGAAAAGGUGCGGUAAGAGCGCACCGUGCACUUGGCAACAAGGCGCAGCAGGCCAAACCCCAUCCGCAGCAAGACCAAACAGAACGCACAGACGCGGCCCGCCGAGCGUUCGGGUAGGUUGCUCGAGCACACCGGCAACGGUGCGCCUAGAUGAAUGACUGUCCGACGACAGAACCCGGCUUACCGUCCGGCCUG
rnacentral:RNase_P_RNA from 1 species